rnacentral:misc_RNA from 1 species
AAUAUACAUAUAUAAAGCCUAUAUGAAUUCAUUUUAAAAAAUUUAAAUAAUAAUUGGUGAAAUCUGCUUCGAUACUUAAAAAAAAAUUGCCAGAAAUGAUAUUUGACCACAAGUAUUAACAUCACUUGAGCUCUAGAAAAAUGAAAAUAGGCAACAAAUAUGUCCCACUCCUAAAGGCAAAUAGAAAAUGACCAUUCCUCCAUGAACCGCAAAGACCUCUUAAUUAUAGCUAAGAAAGUUUACAUGAACAUAUCUCCUUGUGUUGUGGGGAAAACUUACCUAGAUAGUCUAUUAUGGACCCAAUACAAAAACAUUGGAGUUCCACCCAUUUUACAUGUAGAUCUCAUUUGGGUAUAUGAUAGACUAAAUCUAAUUAAGAAUUUCCCCUGGUAUACCGAAAAGCUAAGGAGCUUAUUCCAAACAUCAAGCCAUCGAUGCUCAGAGAUCAGUGUGUUUUUGGGUUUGGGGCAAGGAUAGGUGCAUUUGCUGUUCCGUAAGAUUAUCUCAAAUGGCAAAAGAAAAAGGGCAAUCUAUAUCUUAAUGACAAGUAGCUAGAUCCGCCAGUCUUCCAAAUCUUAGAAACUCAUUUGCAGCUCCGUAAGAUAAGACAGAAAAAGGAUCAUCUAUCUCUUG